UCCUUUUCUCAGGUACGUGGGCUCGGGGACAAGAGGCCACUCUCUCAUGGGAGCCUUUUCUUUCUGAGAACCGCGCUUCCCCGCCGAGCACCACCCCCCACAUGAACAAAUAAACAAAGCGACUGCGUUUUCACUGCCUAGCACCGUGCCUGGCACAUAGUAGGUGCUCAUUAAACACACAUUCUCUCCCUCCUGAGUCUCACCUCGGUGCUCGAGAGAAAGACUCUCUGGAAAUGAAUGCACGUUUCUGCAAACCGCCCACGGGGUCCUUCUGUGCCCAACUAGGAGGACGCAGGACAGAGGCCAGACAAAAGCGGAGCGAGCCCCGACACCCGGCACAGCUACGCUCGCCGCCCCAGGGGGAUGCCCUGGAGGUCCAGCCCUCUUCCCCGUGGCCCCGGGGGACCACAGAGCCGGGCCCCAGAGUCUGGCAGGGAGGGGCUGUGCCCCCCAGCAGACGUGAGCUCCCUCCCACCAGACCCUCCGAGGAUCUGCGAACCGCGGGGCCCAGCCGUGCACGGAGACCGCUACGAGAUACCGGAGUGUCUUGGAGACCACGCGCACACACGUGCUCUGUCGUGCAAGGCCACGUUCCCUCAGGCACUUGAGAUAAAAAAAACGGUGAGACCGAGUCGAGGUCCCCGGGGAGCUCAGCGUAUCGUCGGUGGAGACAGCCGUGAUCCCAGGAGCGAUUAAACAUAACGUCCCGAGCCUGCCGGUGCCAUGCUGGCUGCGGAGCAAACCAAGGCACGGCCAGGGGAGAGACACGCAGGGUGCUCUUGCCGGGCUGGAGGGAGGCGUCCCUGGCUGGGGACCUCGGACAUUGGUGGUGGGGAGUCCGUCCUGGCCAUCACGAGCCUG
rnacentral:lncRNA from 1 species